UCUCACGACAACCUGUUAUUUCUAUAAUUCAUGUUAAUUUUCAGCACCGUUCAAUAACAUUAAUUGAUCUUUGAGUGUUUAUCUACUUGGUAGGAUAAGAUUUUCUGAUAGGUGUCGAUCGUAUAUCUAUAAUUCCGAAAUAGUGAGGGUA
rnacentral:misc_RNA from 1 species